UAAUGUAUGGGGAUCUGCCCGAUAGAGGGGGAUAACUACUGGAAACGGUGGCUAAUACCGCAUAAUGUCUACGGACCAAAGCAGGGGCUCUUCGGGACCUUGCACUAUCGGAUGAACCCAUAUGGGAUUAGCUAGUAGGUGGGGUAAAGGCUCACCUAGGCGACGAUCUCUAGCUGGUCUGAGAGGAUGAUCAGCCACACUGGGACUGAGACACGGCCCAG
rnacentral:rRNA from 1 species